CUCCCGAUGCUCCAGGGUAUACGUUAGUAACUACUACCGCAGAAUUAGCUGAACUGGAAGUGCUUGCGGAUGAGCCUGAGAACAUGCCCGAGCACCACGGCAAUGGUCAUAUCAAACACGAAGACAGGAAAUGAGAAUGGACCUAUUGGCAAGCAAAAGAAUUUAUUUUUGUGAAGGUGCACUCUGAGAAUCACUUCGUACAAUUUUACAAGUGUGUCUUACAGUUAAUUCACUUACACAUAGCUAAAUUAUACAUUGUAUUACAUCGUGGCAUCGAUUUUUAUUCAGACACUGAAAUGAUGUUGUACAGUUUGGAAAUAAAUUAUCCUUCAAACAAGUAUAAAUAA